AUGCAGCAAAAGACCAUUUCAGAAAAUGUGAUAAUUAAGAUUCAGCAGCUAGAACAAGGCUGAAUGAAUAGGAAUGGAGAGCAUCAGGGAAAGUUAGGGGAGCAGUUAAGCUGAAGGGAUGAGUAAGCCACAAUUCUGUCUGGGAUCAUCAGCUCUAUCACUAGGAUAGAAUCCCAAAGCCCCCCUUGCUCUUGGUGUCUUCUCCUACCCUUAGAUUUGGGCAGGUUUCCCAAAACUAAGGUGAAACACACUGCUGGGGCAAGGUUAUGCAGCUGCCCUUGCCCAUAUGCUUAUUCUGCUUUGGUAUUUAAAAAAAAAAUUCUCACAUCCUCACCAGCCUUAACUCUGUCUUUCAGUUUUUUUGGCAGUAAGUGUGCCAAAGGUCAGGAAUUCUGGCAGAGUUUGAUUCAGCCCUGCUCUCCUGAUAGCAGCUAGCACAGGCCUUGGGGCAUAGAAGCUCUUGACAUGAAUUGACUCAAGUUAUUAUGACUUAGGAGGCCCCACCUAAUGGGCUCCCUGGCUACCUCUCCAACCACAAACAGGUCUCCCUGCUCUCUCCUCCCUGCACUGUUCCUGGAGAGCUGUGUUUUUGUUUCUGAGCCUUCUCAUUUAUUAUAUUUCAUCUAUUUGGAGUGCUUCCAGGCCCCCUUCCCUUUUUACUUGGCUAAUGAUUUAUCUUGUAGAGAAAUACGUAUAAAUGACUGGGCCUUUCACUUUUCCUAAACUAGGGCUUGUGACUAAGCAAGGGCAAGGAGGGGGUGUGCAGAGGCUUGCUUGCUGCCCGUGCCCUCUCCAGUGCAGUAACAGUUCCAGGUACCUAGAGCAAACAACCUGUAACCAGAGCCAUGGAAAUCACAGUGCCCCCAGUGGUACUCUGAUGGAGUUAGAAGGCGUGGGGGCCAGGAGCCAGUGCAGCCUUGGGAAGGAAGAAGAGAAGUGAAGGGGGAAGAAAAACAUGCUGAACAAGAAAAAGAUGUGAAGCAUCACAGACAGGAGAAGUUAAAGAAGUUAGCUAAGAAAAACAGAAGAUUUUUGCUAUGUAGUCCUAAGUGAGAUGAGCACAG